UGCUUAGCGUAAUUUGCUUAGAGCCGUUGUGCUGAUUCGACAUUUCAUUAUUACUGUCAACGACCCGGCAUAACUUAAGUAAUCAAUUUAAUAUUCCUUCGUCCAGUUCGUAAAAAUGGUCGCUGUGGAUUUCGUGGGAAAAGUGUGAGGUUCCGUGCAGUGAGGAAACGACAAUGGUCGGAGAGGCAAAAAGGAGUUUUGCUCGAAAAAAAACCUGACACACCCUGCUGUUGGCACACUCCGGUGUUGGAUCGGCCAGGUUAUAUUUUUGAAGCGCGGCCAACGCAAAAAAGAGUUUUACUCGAAGAAAAAACUGACACACCCCGGUGUUGGAUCGCCCAGGGUAAUUUUUUCCUGCAUUUGAGUUUUUUUUAAUUUAUUUUUAUUGUUUUCAAUCGUUUGGGAUAUGGUAACACUUAUUAUUUGACAACACAGAACACUUAUUGUUAUUGUACGUGUAAUAAUAUUUAUGUAAAAUAUAAAAUGCUUAUUUUAAGCAAAUAUCUAAAUAAUAAAUAUAAAAUAAAUAUGUAGAAAUAUUGCAGUGAAGUUAAUAACAACGUCGCAGUUGAUUUUUAUUUAUUUAUUUUUUGAUAGAAAAAAACAUGAAAAACCUCACAACGAAACAAAUACGGCAAAGAUUAUGUUCGAAAUUAUGGCACCACUGUUGUAAAUUCGAAUGGGCACUAUUGAUUCAUGCAGUGAUCGUUUUCGAAUUAUCGAUGUUCUCAGUAUUCGAGUCUGAAAGAGAAUUGAAAGAAGUUGGACACAGAAGAAGCUCGAAAACGCUCCAAAAAAAAAUAAACCUGUUCGGUCCAACACUGUGGUGUUCAUAAUUCUGGAGCAGUGGGCAACUAUUCUAGUCAGAGGGAGAUUGCGCAACUUGAGAAGAUAGCUAUUCUCCUGGAAACUUAAUAAAAGUAAGCAGUGCGCAGGAUUUUGUUAUUUUGUACAGUCGUCGAACAACGCAUCCGUUUUUCUUGCUGUAUAAAUUGUGGGCUAAAAUUCCUCAAGAAAUUCUUCGAGGAGGCAUUGCAAUCGAAUUGAAUUUCAACAUGCGGGUUAGACGGUUGCCCAAAGUAUACUCACACAUGUGGAAAGCUUACAAAACUUCAAGUGUUCCACCAAUUUCAUCCACAGGACCAAAGGGAUCAUCCUGGGUCAUUUGCUAAGACUGUCAACAAGAAAUUUUACGAUUACGUACGUAGGGAUAGGUGCUGCUGACUUUUGGCAAAUAUCGGUGCAUUUGCCCUAGUUAGCGUUUUUAAGAUUAACGAGGUUCCCAGGAAUAAAGUCUAUGAGUUUCUCAAUAGAAGUAUAUAGCCAUAUGCACAUGAUCUCUUUCGAGAGUUAGCAUAUGGUAAAUCGCCAAGUUACCACUAGUGAUGGUGAUAUCUAGUGAUCUUUUAUAAUUUCUCAUAAUUCUAGGGGGUUUUUCAUAAGCGAUUGUGCACAAUAUCUAAUUGUGCUGCCUCCUCCAUUCCCCAUGCCUUGCAGACUCCUAGAAACAAUCAUUUUCUCAUUAUUGGUUAUGAGGAUACAUUAAGCAAUUGUGACCCUGGAAUGUGAGGAGGUUGUUUCACCGAUGAAUCGCGAGCGAGAUAAAGAUGGAGGUAUCUACCACAGGGAUACGAAUCUUUCAGGCGAUGUCAAGCUCAAAACAUUUAUUACAUAUUUACUGCAAAAUUAUUCUAUUCAUGUCACUAAAACUUUUUCGCUAUAAAGUAAUAAAUUAAGUAUAUUUCACGAAUUAACAAAG